AAGUCGUAACAAGGUUUCCGUAGGUGAACCUGCGGAAGGAUCAUUAAAGAGAUAGGGUUCUCACGAGCCUGACCUCCAACCCUUUGUUUACUAAACCACUGUUGCCUCGGCGGGUCGUCGGUUCCCUUUACCGGGUGCCGCCGUCGGCCCUCGCGCUCUCGAGUGCCCGCCGCAGGACCAUUGAAACUCCUUUAUAAACGAGUAUAAUCUGAGUGGAAUUUAAUGCUUCAAUUAAAACUUUCAACAACGGAUCUCUUGGUUCUG
rnacentral:misc_RNA from 1 species